AAACAACAAUUUACAACGAAAAAAAAAAAACAUUGAGUUCAAGAACGUGUUAUGAAAAAUGAGUGGAGUCCUAUUGUUGCAGAACAUUUUUGGGAGCAUACACAUCUACCACGUUGCAAGGUAAGUUAAAAGUAAACAUUUAUUUUACUAAAUUCAUGUUUUUCAAUUUUAUAAGUUAUAACAACUGAUAUAAUUUUAUUUAUUAUUACAGAGUGCUUAUGCAAUGUUCAUACACAGGAAAUUUCAACGAAUUACAUAAGACAAAAAAAACGCCAAAGGGUUGGUUCUGCACAAAGUAAAGCUAUUGUAGCUAUAAUAAAUAAUGGUCAUUCAAGUGAAUCAUUCAGAGAAAUGGAAGCUGUACUCUCAUGCCAACUCAUAGCCAACUCAUGCCUGGAAGAAAAUGAUAACGAAAACCAAUUUAAAGGACUUAAUGAUAUGAAUCCUUUCCAAGCAUGGGCAGAAACAGUAUUUAAUGAAACUAAAAGUUAUGUACAAGAAGGGGUCUAUAAAUCCAUUGUAUGUUCCGAAAAUAGUACUUCAUCUAAUUAAGAUGAUGAAAUUUCUGCCAUUGUGGUUGGGCAUAAUGGUACCUUUUUUUGGAUAUGAAAAACGUAUUUCUAGUUCUGCUGCAGUCGAA